CAGCAGCCACGGUAACACGGAGGGUGCAAGCGUUAAUCGGAAUUACUGGGCGUAAAGCGCACGCAGGCGGUCUGUCAAGUCGGAUGUGAAAUCCCCGGGCUCAACCUGGGAACUGCAUUCGAAACUGGCAGGCUAGAGUCUUGUAGAGGGGGGUAGAAUUCCAGGUGUAGCGGUGAAAUGCGUAGAGAUCUGGAGGAAUACCGGUGGCGAAGGCGGCCCCCUGGACAAAGACUGACGCUCAGGUGCGAAAGCGUGGGGAGCAAACAGGAUUAGAUACCCCGGUAGUCCCUGUCUCUUAUAC
rnacentral:rRNA from 1 species